UGCUGUAUGUUUAGACAGGCAGCACUGGCUUUCAGAUCUCCCCUGUACCUGGGUCUAAAGUUCAGAGACGUUCUGAGUUACAGAUUAAGUUACCUCCCAAAGUUCCAGAACACAGGUUUAAAACCAAUAGCCACCGUACCAUUCUGGAAGACAAUGUCUGAAGGCCUCCGUGAGCUGCUUCAGUUACAGCAAGAGCUGCUCACAAACCAGCAGAACAGUUAAAAUGUUUCCGGCCGUGGUUGCCUUCGUGGGAUCGGAGCGGCAGCCUUAAGCCUGAGGUUCACCUGGGACUCUGCCAGAGGGGGAGAGGCCACAGUGCUUUAAUGCUGAAUUCACCAGCCCUACUGGCCUGUGACCCAGAAUAUCUCUGAUUUAUACCUGAGCAGUGCUGAAUGUUGUGGUACUGAAAAAGGAACCAUUUGCGUGUCAGCAUUAAAACCAAUCUGACGGACUGCGGAAGCAGAGUGGUAAUGUGUACAAAGGGCUGCUGUUGGAAAGAAACCUUUUCUCCUAAAUGCCAUGUUUAUUUCUUCUGGUGCUGCAGCUGGGGCUUAAGCUACAGAAUAGCACACGUGUUUGAUGCUGAAGGAAACAGUUCUGCGUUUUCCCUGUCUUCUCUCAAUGCUGCUGCCCUGUAAUAGUUUCUUAUUAUUCACCCUAACGUUCAUGAGAAGUGCUGAUAUUACCAGAAAAUUCAGUGACAGGGAAAAGUUUGCAUAAACUUAAUGCAUGGUUUGAAUAACAUCAUUAGUAAGAUACUGAAAGCAUGAGGCAACAAAAGCAAUUAUGCAUAUUCUGCAAAACUGUAGUUUUUCUUUAAAGAACUGACAGACAAUAACCAAAAAGCUGAUCUUGUUCAGUCCACGGGAACAGAUCUUCCCACAGACAAGAACUUGCUAUAUAUGCUGCUUCAGAAUAUACAAGUAAAGAAGGAAUCUCAGCUAUAAAAAGGUCUACCAUAGGUAAAUAGCCACUUUAUAGGGGAUCCUUCAUAUAGAAAGAAAGGAGUUUUUGAGAGUUGCUGAGUUUUUAGGCACCUAUCACCAAAAAGGUCAUUGAGUUCUUUUUGCUCUACAGCCAGUCUGAUGUGUGGAUUUAAUCAUGUCUGGAGCCAACAGUUAGCCUGAAAUUACUUUAAGGAAUGUACAUUUUUUCAUCUUGAGUUGCUCUGGUUCAAGAACAUCUGGCUCCUUCAGGAUUUGCAUCUUAUCUCCUGCCUCCACUCCACUGCUGCAGUAUCAGCUUCUGUUGCUGCCUCCACCACAAUGUUCUGUUUCCUUUCAAGUCUUCUGCAUCUUCCAUCCUCUGCCAUGCAUUUGUUGAAUUUGACCACAGGGCAGCCGGACUGGAGGGGCCUGUGGAGACCGGUGGUCCCAGCUUGCGUUAAAUGUCAGCCUAUAGAUAAGGUUCUCUGCGUCCUCAUCUAGCCAAGGCUGUUGCCUCCUUUCCCUUAGGCCCUUGUGCAAUACCCUCCACUCCCCCUCACGUCCCUUUUGGUCCCUCAAAAACUUGCACCAGUAUUUACCACCCACCCUGCCAUGGACUACAGCCAGUCAGUCUUGUGGCCGGUGAGCCCAAUGCUAGCCAGGCCAACAGCUCACUCAGGAUGGAAAAUGGAAGGGAAAUAUGGCACUACUCUCUGUCAGCACUGAUGACGUUUUCCUUCUCCCUACACUUGCUGUUUUACGUGCAAUGUGUGUGAAACCUCACUGUCUCUGGGAACUAUACCUCUGUCAGAUGUGGCUGAACCUGGCUCAAAAGCAGCCAGGACUACACUGGCAGACAGGCGGUGUGAUCGCAGCAGCUAUACACUUAUUCCCUAAGGCUCUUGUCUGCUGCUUUGAGUGCAUCACUGUAACGUGCUGAUGUGCUCGGGUGUGCUGUGCUGGUGUGAGGGCAAAAGCAAGCCUGGAGUAUUGGCCUAUGGUCCCCUUCUAGCUAUCCAGUUCCUGGGGGGUUUAAAUGACAAAACACUGUCUCUUUCUGCAGACAGAGCCAAACCUGAACAUGAGGAUGGGAAGCUUUCCAGCACAGGCUGUCUGCAGUCUGUGCUCUGCACAGUGGGAGGAGAGCUCUCUCUUUGUGUCUCGAUGCUAACAAAAUAAACGUAAUUGUUAUUAAUGGUGAUUACUUGUAAUGGAGCUCUGUGGAGCGCAAUGAUACAAAUGUUCCCAUUAUGGUGGUUUCACAUAAACAGCAACUGCUGGCAAGCCUCCUAAUGUUUCUUUAUUAACUUUCAGACUUCUGAUGAUGCACGUAUUGUCUUCACAAACACAGUACGAAGUAAUUUCUCGACUGUGCUCGCAAGAACCUUUAUCAGUACAAUAUUUGUUUGCCAAUAAUCUUCUAGUUACGUGGAAUAAGGGCCUAAUGGGGAGAACAAGAUCGCUGUUGACAUCAGGUAAUUUUUUUCCUAAGUGGUGCUAUUGGACCGUUCUGCUUAAAGAUUUCCAAGGAGAGCCAGCCAAGUGAAGUCUAGUGAUAUUUCUGACCAAAGAGUGCCGUUCCAGCUGAGCCCAUCUGGAUCUACCUGUCCAUCACCCACGGACAGCUGACGUUGUCCAGGGCAGACACAGGGUUUUCAGGCUUGGACUGUCUCAGUCCCACAUCUGCUGUCUGACUCUACCCUGCACCUCCUGUCUGGCUUUGAGCAAAUGGCUUCAUCUUGCUGUGCAUCAUCUGCGGUAAUGAGGAGCGAGGCUAACAGGGUUUGCUUCGGUCUGUUUCAGACUGUAAGAUUUCUCUAUUGCUUUACGUACUUCUGAUGCUUACUUAGCGCGAUGAGGUUUUAACUUCCAUUGUGGCCUCUAUUUAGGCCACAAAUUUUCUGUAAAUCUUCCAGGAUCCUGUAGAUCAAAGUCUCACAGUCAGAGAGUUCUUGAAUUGCUGCAGGGAGCAUGAUGAACACUGGACAGACGCAUCCCCUCAGGGGAGGACAGACAAGUCCUAAGCCGGCCAUAAAGGCUCCUCCUCAUGAACUGAGUAGAAUUGGGCUUUUAAUUUAUGGCUUUGCUGAAUGGGGCUCUGGAACAAACUCAGCUUCAUGUAUCAUCUGGCAAAUGAAAACAACAGAAGCACAGUGAGUCUGGCACUAUUGUUGUUCAGAAAAUAUGUUGGUUCGUGUGACUUUAAAAGCUAUAAUUUUGUUUAUUUAAAGUAAGAGGCUCUUCAGCCACCCAAGAAACAAAAUCAGAAUUAAAAUGUAUAGUACUCAUGUAUGGAACAAGCAAUGUUAUAGUUCAUACACACUUCUUGUAGUCCAUUCAAUCUGAAAUGUUCAUAGAACGAUUACGAUAAACACAGAAGAUGGGAAUUUCCGUAUCUCAUUAGUUGUAUCUCAUUGGUCUGUAUCUCACUGUUGGUAUCAGAAGAUCCAAAGUUUGAGGAUACGUGGACUACUAUACCCUUUUUGAGUAUGGAAGAGGAUGUUUUUGUUAAAAUCAAUUUGGUGUCUUCUGUGACUAAUUCUUUUCUCAAAUACUUUUGAGGUGAGGACUGGUGCCAAACAGCUGACACAGCCAGUGUGUUUCCCCAUGAAUUUAAGAGAGCUCUCACUGAUAUUUAGCCAGUGUUUAAGGGAAGAGGGUCAGACAUUAUAAUGAAGGAAUAAUGUCAGUAGUAGCCAAAACUAGUUGCAGAACUGAAAUGAGUUGGUUUAGCCUCUCUCCAAACUGAAUUUGAAGGUAACGUGUUGUAAAGAACAGUCAUAUUUUAAAAUGUGAUUUUUUUUUUGUCCAGAAUUUGAGAUUGCAUUACAAUAAUUGCCAGCUAAAGCAGGUGGGAUAUAAAACUUAGAACAUGUUAAGUAAAUACAGAUUUGCACUGCGUAAGGGUGGAUUUGUAUAAACGUAUGUUUGCGCUCCGUAAGUCAGCACAAAACACCAAGUUCUAAAAGGGGCUUGCAAUUCAUCUCUGCCAAUUAGUAAAAUGAGGAUUGGUACUAAUUUAAAUACAUUGCCUUUCCACUGAUGAUAAUUUGAGCGGAAACACCAAGCAAUGUGUUUAUCUGCCAGUAAUGGAUGGAACGUCAAGAAGCGGAUGAGCAAUAGUUGGUGCUGCAGACUGCAGGGACGUGGGCUGUUGUUUGACUAUCAGCUGCUUUUGCUCCAGGUUAAGAUAUUGCUGUCUCCCAGCUGUUCACGCUUAUUCUUCUCCAAAACCUUCUCUCUGCUGGUUUACCAGCUCAGCUCAGACCUCUGGGUUAAAAAAAGAAAUAAAAUGUUUUAAAUAGCAGCGGGUCUUAAUUUGGACCAGGGUGCAGAAGCAGGUUACUGACUGAUGAGCCAAACAGGUAAGCUAGCAGAAGCUGUUCCCCACGACAGACGUAUUUACAUAUGCCCUUUCCCUUAGGGGCUGUAACUGAAUGCAUGUAGUCCUUAAUGGAGCUUCUUGGUGGCUGCGCUCAAAUUAUUUGCAUUCCAGUAAUAUUCGGAUGGCCUGUCUUGCAGUUUUAUUGUUGAACCUUUUAACAUGCUGAUCAUCACAGCUUUCACUUUAGCGGAUGAUUUUAAAUGUGCAGAAAAGCUAACAUAGGUAGAGGCUGGACACAAAACAAAAUAAGAAAAAAAAGAAAGAAGUUGAACAUUCCAGACAGUGAAAAACUUAUUCUGGGAGGAAAAUUUGUUUGAAAUAGACAGAGUUGCUCUUUCCUGCCCCCCUCCAGAUAUGUUGAAUUUCAUUAAGAAUGCUAAAAAAUAAAACCUGAAAUAUAAAACAUUUUGAUUAAGGAUGGCACCAUGUUUCCUGGAGUUACUUUUUGUUCCAAUUCUCUGUAAUCGAAAUCUCCUGGCUAACAGAAAUCUGAAAAAAGAAGAAAUGUUUAAAUAGUAAUAGGAAAAUUUGAAGUAGAUAUUUAAAGAUGAUGUGCAAAUUGAGGCUUUCUACAGCGAAAAGGUGUGAAUGCCUUUUUCUAAACAGCCUUCUGAGUAAGAAGUUACUUUAUUAACAAAAAAUCAGCAAACUCUCACUCACUCCUACUUUUCUCAAUCUGAUUUUGGUUCCUUUAGUUCUAAUUUUGAUUAUUUUGUGGGAUGAACAAAUAUCAAGUCUAGUCACUGGAUCCUAUUCAGUUAAAUCUCUUCAAUGUCAGAUAGAAUCAGUUCCACAGUAAAGGUUUUGUGGCCUGUGGAUCCUGUUGUGCCAUACCUUUUGUUUUAUACAGUUGCCAACAAGUUGUCAAGGAUGAAACACUCUGUGUUAAUGAAUAGAAAAGGAGCAGAAGCAGUGUUUAGGAUCCAGAUGUCCAGAUUUGUUGGUGCCCCUUACAACUACAUUUUUCUACGCAGCAAAGUUCAUAUGUGUCACAAUACUGCAACUGUCUGCAAAUCCAUGUGAUCUUUGCAUGUGAUCAUAGAAUCAUAGAAUCGCUGAGGUUGGAAAAGAUCCACAGGAUCAUCCAAUCCAACCAUUCACCCAUCACCAAUGGUUCUCGCUAAACCAUGUCCCUCAACACAAUAUCCAAAUGCUCUUUGAACACCUCCAGGGUUGGUAAUGUGAAGAUAAAGAUGAAAUUAUGUUACUGCUGACCUUAUAAGUCAAGGGCAUGUUCCUCACAUAGGAGUUUCUGAAUCCCAUUGGUCACCACUGAACUGGUGUGUAGCCCUGAACAAGGCAUUCAACCACAAAGCCCUAGCGUCCCCAUUUUCAAGAAUAAUAAUUCCUACUGCAAACCUAUGCAGUGACUCCUUAGAAAUGCAAACAAGGAGCAAUAGCAAUGGUUUUUGUUUUAGCCUUACAUUUAUAGUUAUGUAUCAAAUUAUUUAACCACGAUCAAACAGGCAAAAGUCCCACUGAAAUCUAUUUGUGUCUUGUUUACAUUAUUUGGACUGAUACUUAAUAUUAUUUUUAGAGCCACAUGUCCACAGCAUGCCAUGCAUAGAAAAAAAGAUCUGUACUGAUGGUAAGUUACACCUUGAAUUAUACAUCUGUAGUCCCAAAGGAAAACAAACAGCAAAGAAUUUGUCUUUCUCUGAUCGGACAAUGUAAUGUGGUACCGGAAAGCACAGACCAGUACUUGCUUGUUGAGUUCCAACUGGGUGACAUUUACAAGCAUUCAGCUAAUGAGCUAUGGGUUCUUGAAACAGGAGUUUUCUAAUAGGAGCAAUAUAAUAUUCCAUGCAGAAGAACAUAUUCCUUUCAAGUAUAAAAGCAGAGAUAAGAUUUAUUAGUCAAGGCACAGAAAGGAAUGUUCUGUAGAUUGGAACAUAAAAUGCUAUAUGAUAUUUUCAGCGUUUGUGAGAUAUUAUGACCCAAAAUACAAUAUACAUUUUUACUGGUUUCUGGUGGUAGAAGUUUAGACAUUAAUGGCAGCUGCCUCAUGACAGCAAGGUUUUAUGAGCCAGUUUUUGUUUUUUUUUUUUAAAGAGAAAUACAAAAUGUCAGUAUGCUGGGUCUGAAAGUCACAAGAUUGUAAAUGUACUCAACAAGAAAAAUCUGACAAAAACUGUACUAGGGAUUGCUUCUCAUUCUGCUUAUAAAUGUCUUUUAUUGCCUCAGACUUUGUUAUGUAAGCUAUCCACUCAACAGCAUGGACUUCCUUUGAAAAGACAAAGCACAAAACCUUCAAUAACAUGUGAUCAUAUUACAUCACUGUUUAGUUUACCUUGUGAUUCAAAAACUUGGCAAUUCAACAUUACCAGGUUUUAAUGGAAUACAUUCAAGGGCAUAAAUAAGUCACUUAUCAUUGCUUCUGCUUCAUCUGUUUUUCCUGAUAGGACCUACCCUAAUCCAAUUCAGCACUGGGGUAAGGAAGGAUGCUAUGGCACCAUAGCAAGGAGGGCAUAUUCCAUAGUGACCACUACUAAGGUAAGACUCAAAGAUUCCUCAGCUUUUCCUACAGGAUUUAUCCGAAGACCCAUUCUUGAUGUCAUCAUAGUGAGUUAUCCAGUAGCAGUCAUCUUAAAGGGACUUGAAUCUCCUUUCAUUCGUAUUAGUAUAAAUAAAUGAUAGCCGCGUUGCAUGUACAAAUGAGUAGAAUUUAUGGGAGACAGAAAAAAAAACUUUAAAAUGUAUGGCCAGUGUUGCCUCUUUUUCAAAAUAUGCAGCCUAAUGUGGUCAACGUUUGUAGCUGACUCCAUUAUCUCUUUGUGGAGUAAAGCAGAUUUUUGCCAUGCUGAUUUUUUUUGUUUUGCUUUGGAACAAAGUGGCAUUGAGGUCUUAGUCUAAUGUAUGGGCACAGACCUUCUUCAGUCUUACCCAGUUGUCAGUGCUUGCAAUAUCUUAGGUCCAGAAGAUGCAGUAUCUCGCUUAAAGGAAAGAAAAUGGCCUGCUGUAGGAAAUCUUACAGCUAUAAAGGAAGUCCUAUGCCCAUUGAUUAAUUCUGUAGACCUUUUUCUUUGCUACUGUGCAAUGUCUUUAACUGGACAGUUCCAAACCUCCAGAAUUUGUGUUUAUGAAGGAGAAGGGAUAGUUAGAACCCUAGUAACUCCCCUGCACAGCUGUGACUGGAGGGAAUUAUGGGCUGAGAGCCCAACCAAUGAAGCAAAGUUUUAUUUUUGUCUCUGCAGCUGACCUGGAUGUCCAGUCCUGGGUAUGUUGCAAGGGUGUGAAAGGGGUAGAAUUUCUGAAUCCUGAUAUGUUUUAUUGUGGAUAGUGAAAGUUCUUCCUUAAUCCUCAGUCUUGUUUUUGAAAUUGACUCUUUUGAGAACUGGGUAUCUCUGUACUAGGACAAUGCCAUGAACAUCAAGGUCUUUCCCCAGAUGACUGAGCACUUUGGGAAUUCCCUACCCUGAUCCAAGCAAGAUGCUAAGAGAUUCACUGGCAUUGCUCAGUGGAGUUCCCCGGCAUCAUUCUCAAGAACUGGAUCACUAUGUAUGAAGCUUUGUUCUUGGAAAAAGGGAGUGUGCAGGAUGCCAAAUUUGAUCUGUGAUUACAGGCAGAAACAUUUAAUAUGAAUAAUUGCUCUAUCUUCUAUUUGCAGAGAGUAUUGUUUGAGCCAGCUUGUUCAGAAAGAAAGAGUGGAAAAGAGGGAAAUUACUACUGAAUGCCAAAUCUACAAAUAACAGUAACAGAUACAGUACCGGAUCAAUAGCCCUGCAUCUCUCUUUGCAGGGCCAGAAUUGCUUCUGAUCUGUCUGCUCACAGCAGAACUGUUCCAGUUUUGUCAUGAAGAGCAAAGCUUGUACUAAUCAUACUCUGUAAUAGCCACAGCGGUUGUCCCUGGGUCUGCCAUUCACCAAAAUUUAAUCUUGAUUGCUGAGAAUUUUCAUUGCAUGUAGAAAGUUGUUCCACAUGAGAGCAAGCACUGACAAACAAAACAAAACAAAAAAAACCCUAUACUUCUUUAUAAUAUAUAUUAAUAAAUAUGUGUGUGUGUGUGUGUGUAUACAUGCUAAAGUAUCUUCUAGUAUAUCUUUUAGCACCCUAAUAUUUCAUAGUCUAAUACAUAGCAGUAACCUUUCCCAUACAGGAUGUGACCAGCAAAUGUAUUGGCGUUGCUGGUAAGAACUCUGAAAUGUAACUGCAGUUGGAAGAGUUUGUAAAAACCCAAUGGUAUGAAACAAAAAUUUUCAGGCUUAAACCCCAUAAAUUUCUUUCGUUGUUCUUUUUGCUGAGUGUACCCACCUAUAUGACUGACAGUAUAUGUGAUUAGGAGUUAAUUCUCAGACAUAAUGUUCAUAUCUCUUUGUGAAUGGUACUGAGUUCUUACAAAUCUUUUGAUUUGGAGAGGGAGAAAAUGAACUAUGGUGUAGCUAUACCCAUGCAAGUUGCUGCAGGCUGUCUGCAGGCUCAGGCCACUGCUGUCCUCAAAUGACUUUGAACCAGCCUGUCUACAAAAACAAAGUUAGUGUUCCACUGCAAGUCCUCUCAGUAGCAGAUACUCCUGCUUUGGCUUCAGGACAAGUUGCGUCUUGUGUCUCUGGUGUACAUGAUGUAUUGGUUUGCAUACAUAGGUGUUAGAGCUCUUUCUUGAAAAAAAAAAUAGCUCCUCUGUAGGGCCUCACAGAGCUCUGUGGUAACCUUCUGGUGACCUUUUGUUUCUAAACAAGUGUUUUUGUGUAUGGAUGCAGUUUUUUUUUUUUUUUUUAAGAAGCAUAUGCAAGUCUGAUGAUUUGCAAUUUCUUUUAUUAGCCUUGUACUAACCAUGACGGAAUGACCGGAAAUAAAGGACAUACAGUUCACACUGUAUCUUAUAGUUCCAUUAAGUAGACAAUGGGGAAGCAAUUUGAAGUAAGUGAUUUGUAAGGCAGUUAAUUUAAAACAUAAUUUCUUAGACAGCUUGGUGAAAUUCACCAGUAUGUUUUUAAAGAAAAAAAACAAACAUCAACAGCAACAAAAAUACAACUUGAUGAUGCUUUGAAGUUUGGUUCUUACCACAGUUUGAGUAGAUUAAAAUUUAAAUCUACUGUAAUCCCAAAAACUUGAGUGUAUUUGUGCACAUGUUGUGAAGGGGCAUGAUUUCUUUACGUGUGUACUCUUAUGGAUUAGCAUGUACAGGCACAACCCAGCCCGAUGUUCCUGUGUGACUAAUGAGUAUAGCCUCCUGACCUGUUUCAAUGACUGGGAGCUACCAGGCCUUCCUGUGCACAAACCAUGAUCAAAACUGAAGCUACAAGUUUGUGAUGCAUUUGGUUGACAGCUUACUGGUAGAGCAACCAGCUCUAAUUGCAUUCCGGUUACUCCUGAGUGCUCCUUUUCAAUCUAUCUAUCACGAUGCUGCCAAAGACAGAAAUAAGCUACAGAACUGCACAACGGCAGCAGUAUGUAUUUGAUAUUCUGACCCUUGCUUCCCCUUGCAGCCCUCCAUGGUACUCCCAAGUUCAAUCACCUGAUGUAGCACUUGAUCCUUAGCUCCUUUCCCCCACAGAUAAACACUGAAGCGGUAAUUCCUGCUGCAGGAAUGUUCUUUCAUAAAUGCUUUUGAAGUGAGGAAACCUGAUCUCUUUUAAGAUAAUAUAUUAUUAGUUAGAUUUCAUUGGAAGAGGAUCCUCUAUAAACCCUGCCUAUUGUUUUCUCUCCAGACUAAAAGUUCAGUCAACUGAAACCUCAGUCCUUGGGAGUGCUGGUGAUACUUUUAAUCAUAAGUGGAAUAUUUAGAAAACUUUUCUUUCGUCUAAUAAGACCAUCCCCUUCUCUGUCAGCUCAGCUGACUUAUGACACUUUCACAACUUGGAAAUAACCUCAUGAUCUGCUGAUUUCUCUGUCAUGUCUUCUAGUAUUUGGUCUAAAUUAUCACUAGAUUAAUUAUCACUAAAUUAUCACUAUCACAAGAAAAUCUAACUAAAGCUUAUUUUGCUGAAGUCUGUGGUUUUUACUUUCAUAUAAAGUUGAAGGUGUCAGAACUAAUGUUUUUGAUGGUUCAGUAUUUACUUUAGUCCUGACCCAUGUAGUUCAUUAAGACUAGCUGAAAUAUAAAUGCUAUAGUUUACUGCAGCUAUAGUGUGGUUUUUUGAAUUUUUUUUAACCUAUAAGAAAGGUAUCUAACUAUCAACAGACAGUUUUCACAUUUGUUUUGAUCAAGAAGAGUUUCCAUGCAAUAACAUUAUUUUUUUGCCCUGUGAAAUUGACCUGUUCUGUCUUGCUACUCCAUAGGUCUAUGGUCAACAAAGGGAGUACAGUUGGACUGAUUAAAACUAUACUGACUGAUUACAACUAUACUAACUAUACUAUAAAACUAUACUGAAGGUAUUUAUAUCCCAGUACCUGGGCCGGAGCAUCAAACAUUCCCCCAGAACAUAUGCAGUACCCACCCACCACAACUUCUAUGGUUGUAACCGGGUAGGCGGGCAAUUAUGCUGAAAUUGAGACAUCUGACCCGAUGCAAAUGUGGACUAUCCUACCAUAAAAACCUUCCCAUACUGAAGAUAGAAUGAUACAGAAACAACCCUAAACACCAAAAUUCACAAUUGCAGCCGAUUCUCUUACAGAAUGUAUAGCAGAAGUUCUAAAAGCUUAAACAUGGCUACUAUCAAAAACUUUGCAAAGGAGAAUCUGACUCCUACAUCACUGCAAGUUUAUAGGUUAUGUCUUUUUUUUUUAAUGACAGAAGAAGAGUCUUGUUGAAGGGAAAAGGCUUUUAGAGGAGAUGUAUAACCACAGAGAUAUUAAGUAAAGUUUCAAGUCUCCUUAUGGGCCUAAGCUGAAAAAGUGAACUCAGGAGGUAUUAAAAAGAACUUCUGUUGAGGUCUCUGUUGUUUGGAAACAUUUUGCUCUCAAAUCUGUGCAGUGUAAAUUGCUUAUGAGGCUUUGUGGGCAGAUCUCAGCUGUUUAUUUUGCACACUGCUAAAUAUGAACUCUCAAGCCUUAGUAAAUCUACUUGCAAAUGUGCUUCGGAAACAUUUGUAAUUUUUUUCCUCUAAAUCUCCAUGUAAAAAGAAUUUCCAGACACAAACAACUGUCAGAGAAAAACAACUGUGAUUUGUUGGGGUGUGAAACUAGAGAGUGCCUAAAUUAUUUGCCUUUAUUAGAAAGCAUGUUGGCAAACAGACUGCACCUUUUAUGACCUCAGGAAGAAAUCUGCUUUAUUUCAUGCACAGUUAGCAGCUUACAGGAGAUAGUCUGCACAUCUCACCGACAGCUUUGGCAUUUGAUACAGGUUUUGCUUCAGACUGGGGGACAGAAGUGAAUUACACUACCACAAGAAUCAAUUUACACUUCACUCUUCUGAAAACUUCAGUGUCAGUGUCAUGUACAGAACAAUACCAGACCAGAGACAGUCGCUCAUUUUCCAUUUAUGAGCAACCAGAAUGAAGUUUCAUUCAUUUUGGACUUAAGCCAGUAGAAAAGAGCCUCUACAGUUGUUCACUGACAGUAUUCUCCAAGACUUUUUGGCUUGUGUAGGGCAAUGGUACUAAGCCAAAUGGUGAGAUUUCAAUUUGCUGGAUCCCACUGAAUGGCAGAAUGGGCUAGCUAGCUCAGGGCCUACUCACGCCUAUGCACUAAAGCAUUACAGAAGCAGCAGACUCUUCCCUGAAUAGACCAAAUGACCAGAUGAGAUUCAGCUGAGUCAUGAGGGAAGUCUAAACCACAGAAGUUCAUUCUCUUCAUUCAAAAGAGACGACUAAAAUAAAAAGGCCCCACUUCCAUCAUAGAAGCCUGGUUGCUACGCACAGUCCAUCAGAAACAAAAGCUCUACAACGCCCUAUGUAAUUAAUACUGUUGCAGCAGGUCGAUCUGUCACUCACAGAGUAUACUCCACUGUGGGGAGAAGCAGCAGCAAAGCAAACUUCAUCUGUCCCACAGAAGACAUUACCAAUAAACAGCAGCAGUUGCGAAAACCAGUGAGUGCCUACGUGGAUUUUGCCCAGCAAUUUGUAUAAUUGCCUGCUGAGCAGACGAAAUUAUUUUGCUUGGCUUCUGUGAGUCACGGAGCUGAUCCCUACCAUUUUCUGGAGCUCACCUGGCUAGAUGGUUAUGUCCUGGUCCUAUAAUCAAACCUAUAAAGGAAGUAUAUGGCCUGUCUUCAGGAUCAAGGAAGAUCAAGGCUGUAGUAUAAGGGUGGGGCAAACCUGAGAAUGCUUAUUAAAGGAAGAGCUGGCAAUGAUGCCUUCUGUUGAGGUCAUCCUGAGUUUUCUUAUGUUUCAAGCAUUAACACGAUGGCUUCUUUUACAUCUGUCUUUCUUCCAUGCUCUCUUAUUUUUAGAGUAAGAAGAGGUGAAAAGGUCCCAGGAUUCUAAAUGUUCAAACUUGCGACUGUCACCUCUUUUUCUUGCUCUCACGCUGAAGUCACAUCCUAAGAGAUUUCAAGAAUCUGUCAUAGGAUCAUAGAGUGGCCUGGGUUGGAAAGGACCACAAAGAUCAUGUAGUUUCAACCCACUGCUAUGCACAGGGUCGCCAACCACUAGACCAGGCUGCCCAGAGCCACAUCCAGCCUGGCCUUGAAUGCCUCCAGGGAUGGGGCAUCCACCAGUCA
rnacentral:lncRNA from 1 species